rnacentral:rRNA from 18 species
UGGAUGCCUUGGCGAUCACAGGCGAUGAAGGACGUCGUAGCCUGCGAUAAGCUGCGGGGAGCUGGCAAACGAGCUUUGAUCCGCAGAUUUCCGAAUGGGGAAACCCACCCGCAAGGGUAUCGUUGCCUGAAUACAUAGGGUAACGAGGCGAACGCAGCGAACUGAAACAUCUAAGUAGCUGCAGGAAAAGAAAUCAACCGAGAUUCCGAAAGUAGUGGCGAGCGAAAUCGGAUCAGCCUGUACGUGAUAGUCGAUCGAUUAGUGGAAUGAUCUGGAAAGAUCAGCCGUAGCGGGUGAUAGCCCCGUACACGAAAAUCCUUCGGUGGUACUAAGCGUACGAUAAGUAGGGCGGGACACGUGUAAUCCUGUCUGAAGAUGGGGGGACCAU